rnacentral:rRNA from 1 species
UACAGAGGUGGCUAGCGUUGUUCGGAUUUACUGGGCGUAAAGGGCGCGUAGGCGGUCAGCACAAGUCAAUUGUGAAAUCUCCGAGCUUAACUCGGAAAGGUCAACUGAAACUGUGCGACUAGAGUGCGGAAGGGGCAACUGGAAUUCUUGGUGUAGCGGUGAAAUGCGUAGAUAUCAAGAGGAACACCUGCGGCGAAGGCGGGUUGCUGGGCCGACACUGACGCUGAAGCGCGAAAGCCAGGGGAGCGAACGGG